rnacentral:rRNA from 1 species
UACAGAGGGUGCAAGCGUUAAUCGGAAUUACUGGGCGUAAAGCGUGCGUAGACGGUCAUGUAAGUCGGGUGUGAAAGCCCCGGGCUCAACCUGGGAAUUGCAUUCGAGACUGCAUGGCUAGGGUGCGGAAGAGGGAAGCGGAAUUUCCGGUGUAGCGGUGAAAUGCGUAGAUAUCGGAAGGAACACCAGUGGCGAAAGCGGCUUCCUGGUCCAGCACCGACGUUCAGGCACGAAAGCGCGGGGAGCAAACAGG